UACGGGGGGGGCAAGCGUUGUUCGGAAUUACUGGGCGUAAAGGGCUCGUAGGCGGCCAACUAAGUCGGAUGUGAAAUCCCCAGGCUCAACCUGGGAACUGCAUCCGAUACUGGAUGGCUUGAAUCCGGGAGAGGGAUGCAGAAUUCCAGGUGUAGCGGUGAAAUGCGUAGAUAUCUGGAGGAAUACCGGUGGCGAAGGCGGCAUCCUGGACCGGCAUUGACGCUGAGGAGCGAAAGCUAGGGGAGCAAACGAG
rnacentral:rRNA from 1 species